AGUGAACGCUGGCGGUAGGCCUAACACAUGCAAGUCGAACGGCAGCACAGUAAGAGCUUGCUCUUACGGGUGGCGAGUGGCGGACGGGUGAGGAAUACAUCGGAAUCUACUUUUUCGUGGGGGAUAACGUAGGGAAACUUACGCUAAUACCGCAUACGACCUACGGGUGAAAGCAGGGGAUCUUCGGACCUUGCGCGAUUGAAUGAGCCGAUGUCGGAUUAGCUAGUUGGCGGGGUAAAGGGCCACCAAGGCGACGAUCCGUAGCUGGUCUGAGAGGAUGAUCAGCCACACUGGAACUGAGACACGGUCCAGACUCCUACGGGAGGCAGCAGUGGGGAAUAUUGGACAAUGGGCGCAAGCCUGAUCCAGCCAUACCGCGUGGGUGAAGAAGGCCUUCGGGUUGUAAAGCCCUUUUGUUGGGAAAGAAAAGCGGCAGGUUAAUACCCCGCUGUUCUGACGGUACCCAAAGAAUAAGCACCGGCUAACUUCGUG
rnacentral:rRNA from 1 species